AUUGAACGCUGGCGGCAUGCCUUACACAUGCAAGUCGAACGGUAACGGGCCUUCGGGUGCCGACGAGUGUCGAACGGGUGAGUAAUACAUCGGAACGUGCCCGAUCGUGGGGGAUAACGAGGCGAAAGCUUUGCUAAUACCGCAUACGAUCUACGGAUGAAAGCAGGGGACCGCAAGGCCUUGCGCGGACGGAGCGGCCGAUGGCAGAUUAGGUAGUUGGUGGGAUAAAAGCUUACCAAGCCGACGAUCUGUAGCUGGUCUGAGAGGAUGAUCAGCCACACUGGGACUGAGACACGGCCCAGACUCCUACGGGAGGCAGCAGUGGGGAAUUUCGGACAAUGGGCGCAAGCCUGAUCCAGCCAUGCCGCGUGCAGGAUGAAGGCCUUCGGGUUGUAAACUGCUUUUGUACGGAACGAAAAGCCUUCUUUUAAUACAGGAGGGUCAUGACGGUACCGUAAGAAUAAGCACCGGCUAACUACGUG
rnacentral:rRNA from 1 species